rfam:Ornithorhynchus anatinus chromosome 7, whole genome shotgun sequence.
AGCAGCGUGGCUCAGUGGCAAGAGCUUGGGCUUUGGAGUCAGGGGUCAUGGGUUCGAAUCCUGGCUCUGCCA